rnacentral:rRNA from 1 species
GAUGAACGCUGGCGGCGUGCCUAAUACAUGCAAGUCGAGCGAACAGACGAGGAGCUUGCUCCUCUGACGUUAGCGGCGGACGGGUGAGUAACACGUGGAUAACCUACCUAUAAGACUGGGAUAACUUCGGGAAACCGGAGCUAAUACCGGAUAAUAUAUUGAACCGCAUGGUUCAAUUGUGAAAGACGGUUUUGCUGUCACUUAUAGAUGGAUCCGCGCCGCAUUAGCUAGUUGGUAAGGUAACGGCUUACCAAGGCAACGAUGCGUAGCCGACCUGAGAGGGUGAUCGGCCACACUGCAACUGAGACACGGUCCAGACUCCUACGGGAGGCAGCAAUAGGGAAUCUUCCGCAAUGGGCGAAAGCCUGACGGAGCAACGCCGCGUGAGUGAUGAAGGUCUUCGGAUCGUAAAACUCUGUUAUUAGGGAAGAACAAAUGUGUAAGUAACUAUGCACGUCUUGACGGUACCUAAUCAGAAAGCCACGGCUAACUACGUG